rnacentral:tRNA from 1 species
CGCUAUAGCUCAGCAGGUAGAGCAACUGAUUUGUAAUCAGUAGGUCCCGAGUUCGAUUCUUGGUGGCG